UACGAAGGGGGCUAGCGUUGCUCGGAAUUACUGGGCGUAAAGCGCACGUAGGCGGAUUGCUAAGUCGGGGGUGAAAUCCCGGAGCUCAACUCCGGAACUGCCUUCGAUACUGGCGAUCUCGAGUCCGGGAGAGGUGAGUGGAACUCCGAGUGUAGAGGUGAAAUUCGUAGAUAUUCGGAAGAACACCAGUGGCGAAGGCGGCUCACUGGCCCGGUACUGACGCUGAGGUGCGAAAGCGUGGGGAGCAAAC
rnacentral:rRNA from 1 species